rnacentral:rRNA from 1 species
GACGAACGCUGGCGGCGUGCUUAACACAUGCAAGUCGAACGAAGUGGCGAACGGGUGAGUAACGCGUAAUCAACCUGCCCUUCAGAGGGGGACAACAGUUGGAAACGACUGCUAAUACCGCAUACUGAAGGAGGGGAUUGCGUCUGAUUAGUUAGUUGGUGGGGUAACGGACCACCAAGGCGAUGAGUAGUAGCCGGUCUGGUAGGAUGAACGGUCACAUUGAGACUGAUACACGGCCCAGACUCCCACGGGAUGCAGCAGUGUGGAAUCAUCCGCAAUGGACGAAAGUCUGACGGAGCAACGCCGCGUGAGUGAUGACGUCCUUCGGGUUGUAAAGCUCUGUGAAUCGGGACGCGGUACCGGAAUAGAAAGCCACGGCUAACUACGGGCCAGCAGCCGCGGUAAUAC